UGCCUGUGGCUAGCCUGUGGUUGCAGGUGCAGAAGAGUAGCUCUCAUUUAAGCACCAGGAAGUAUGUCGUCCAGCCAGCGAGCAGCAAUGCCCCGACCAGCACAGUGUAACUGAACAGCACGAAGGCCAGCAGCUCUUUCAACACCUUGAGGAAGUGGAUGGCAAAGGAGUCUGGCAUGGUUCUUCUCCACGGCACUGCAGCAGACAUGAACUCUUGUUCCACCGUCAAAUUAUCGAAGAAAUCUUCAGAUGCUUUGGAGAAAAAAUGAAAAUCAAUACAGCUGCUGACAGCUUCUUUCCUACAUUGAACAUUUCAGCAGAGAUGCACUGGAUGGAGUCAAGCCAAUUUUUGCCAAGUUGAAUGAUGUCCAUCAAGUUGUCUUGCAUCUUGCUAUAGUCAGAGACUACUGCAGGAAUACUCACUGGUGAUGUCUUUGAUGAGUUCUGCGAUGGAGGUGUGGUUUGCUAGAGAACUCCUUGCAGCCUGCAUAUGUGGCAGCUGUGAGACAAACUGCUUGAUCUCUCCAACGGUCUUUGCGUGGUGUCUUUCCUAAAGAAAUCCAUCAUUUAGGUUAGGGUCUUGUUCAGAUCAAGAACACCAACUACAUCAUUUAUCAUGAGGGAGCUUUUUACUGUACUCAGUGCAACAGCAAAUACCAUUAGAGAUACAGAGUCUUUUAAAAAGACAAAAGACUUCAAGUCCUUACACUAAAGUCACAGCAUUACCUGUAACAGUGUUUUGACCACCAGAAGAGGCAGCCACAAUACAUCAAGAUCAUUAUACUGAUUUUUUUUCCUUUAUUCCAGUGUUACCAAUUACUUUUCUGCACCUUUGACUUCAGCCAUCACUAUCUGCUCCUGUUUCCCUGCCAGAAAACUACCUUCUUCAUGAAAAGACAAUUACUUUGCUAGCUGAUAGUAAACACAGACCUAAAGGAACUGCAGCCAGAGAUGGAGACAAGUCUCUUCAAAAUAGCAGUGACAGGUGCUGUGGAACCAGACUGCCAUUCACUGUACCUGUCUGUUAACAAUGUCCCAGGUUUUGAGUAAGGAUCUGACGAAGCACAAUGAAGACUUCAGCUCUCAGAGCAGCCCAGAAGUCUGUAUUUCAUUUGGGCUACUGUCUCUUGAUGUGACUUGGAAUAAAAAUAGUGAUUUGACUCAUAUGUGAAGGAUUUAGAUGGGCAAGUGCAGGCAGGAGAGUGAUAAUGAAGAAGCCUGCAAUUUAAGAAGUUCUCUGAUGCCAAUAUGCUGCUGUUUCAUUAUCACCCAUUACCUC